GACGAACGCUGGCGGCAUGCCUAAUACAUGCAAGUCGACCUUAGGGGAGAACGGGUGAGUAACACGUGGGUAACAGGCCCAUCAGAAGGGGAUAACACUUGGAAAAAGGUGCAAAUACCGAAUACUGAUGGAUGGUACCGCGGUGCAUUAGCUAGUUGGUGAGGUAUCGGCUCACCAAGGCCACGAUGCAUAGCCGACCUGGGAGGGUGAUCGGCCACAGUGGGACUGAGACACGGCCCAGACUCCGACGGGAGGCAGCAGUAGGGAAUCUUCGGCAAUGGACGAAAGUCUGACGGAGCAACGCCGCGUGAGUGAAGAAGGUUUUCGGAUUGUAAAGCUCUUUUGUUAGAGAAGCGUUAACUAACCAGAAAGCAACGGCUAACUACGUGCCAGCAGCCGCGGUAAUAC
rnacentral:rRNA from 1 species